GGUUCUAUGGCGCAAUUGGUUAGCGCGUCCGGCUGUUAUGUGAGUACCGUUCACACAGCAAUACCGGGAGGUUGAAAGUUCGAGUCUUUCUAGUACCG